rnacentral:rRNA from 1 species
UACGUAGGGGGCAAGCGUUGUCCGGAUUUAUUGGGCGUAAAGAGCGUGUAGGCGGCCAGGUAGGUCUGCUGUGAAAACUCGAGGCUCAACCUCGAGCUGUCGGUGGAAACCGUGUGGCUAGAGUCCGGAAGAGGAGAGUGGAAUUCCCGGUGUAGCGGUGAAAUGCGCAGAUAUCGGGAAGAACACCCGUGGCGAAGGCGGCUCUCUGGGACGGUACUGACGCUGAGACGCGAAAGCGUGGGGAGCGAACAGG